rnacentral:rRNA from 1 species
UACGUAUGGGGCAAGCGUUAUCCGGAAUUACUGGGUGUAAAGGGAGUGUAGGCGGCACGACAAGUCAGAAGUGAAAGCCCGGGGCUCAACCCCGGAACUGCUUUUGAAACUGUCGGGCUGGAGUGUCGGAGGGGUAAGCGGAAUUCCCGGUGUAGCGGUGAAAUGCGUAGAUAUCAGGAGGAACACCGGCGGCGAAGGCGGCUUACUGGACGACUACUGACGCUGAGGCUCGAAAGCGUGGGGAGCAAAC